AGAUUCUUCCAGCAUAACAAAGAAGAUUGAAAAUAUAUGGACGAUUACAUAGAAGAUGCUGAGAUUCACUGUUAAACGGACGAGUUGAAAAGCAAUUAAAAGAAUAACUAGAGUUCCUUGCACGAUCCAUAAAUACUCUUAUAGACUGCCGAUGUUUGCUCUGAGAGUCUUAUCGCUUGAUAAGUUAGAAAACAAGCCGCGAUCAAACAACCUUAUCAUGGUAACAUUCUUACUGGAGACGCUAGAGAGCUCCGCAGAAUCCAAUGCAAUAAGGCGUGGUGCGCAAAAUACUUGAAUAUCUCCGCGAUGGAAGAACUUACUUCCCAAAACAAUAGAUAGGAAGUUGUUGAAAAGUGAUAGUGACGUUACCAAAGAACAAACCAAAGUUUUAUAAAUUUCUAGUCCGAGGCGAUAUAUAAGUUCAGCAAACUGGAGGAUCUACAGACUUUGGACGCUGCUGAGGGCGUGGGGGAGGACGCUAACGAGGACUGCUUGGCGAAGAACUUUAAUUUAUCUCUAAACUUCUGCCCUGCGUAC